rnacentral:rRNA from 1 species
AGGAUGAACGCUAGCGGCAGGCCUAAUACAUGCAAGUCGAACGGUGGUAGCAAUACCAUAGUGGCGCACGGGUGCGUAACGCGUAGCCAACCUACCCGAAUCUGGGGGAUAGCCCGCCGAAAGGCGGAUUAAUACCGCAUAAGACUAUGGACCGGCAUCGGUUGGUAGUUAAAGAUUUAUUGGAUUCGGAUGGGGCUGCGUGCCAUUAGCUAGUUGGGGGGGUAACGCCCACCAAGGCGACGAUGGCUA